GGGACAUCAGAAUUCCACCAUUGUGAGUAUUGACUCUGUGAACUUUUUGGAUGUACAGGUCAGGAAAAUGGAUAUCACUUAUGCACUGUUUUGUACACCAAACCGACAGAUUCAAAUAGUUUGCUACAUGUAAAUAGUUUCCAUUCCCCUAAACAAAUUUGUUCCAUUCCACACAGCCAGUUCCUGCGGGUCCGCUGUAUUGUCAGCGAUGACAGCAUAGUAGACAAACACCUUACAGACCUUUCACAGAAAUUUCUAGAAAAGGGAUAUAGCCCUUGUCUGUUACAAAAAGCUAAACGGAAGGCUAAAGACAUGAAUCGGAAGGAACUACUUUCCACGACAAAUAAACACAAACAAGACAGAAUACCAUUUGUGAGUACUUUUUCACCACUUACACCACAAAUACAGAAUGUUAUAUGUAACAAUUGGUUCAUAUUACAAACAGAUAAACAUACUGGACAUUUAUUUAAGAAUCCCCCAUUAUUUUCUAAUAAGCGUGGCCAAUCCAUAAGAGAUAAGGUAGUCAGGGCUGACAGUCAGACUAACACUAGACAGACGUUUCUUUCAAAACCUGUACAUGGGAUUUAUCCCUGCUUGAGCUGCAAUUAUUGUAGUGGGAUCAUUAAGGGUGAAUUUUGCACCCAUCUUAGGAUUGGUCAACAGAGUAGGUUAAAAGUGUUUUUUACAUGCCAGACUGUUGGUAUAUCUCCUAAAGUGUCUGUGUGGCUUGGGCUAUGUGGGUAAAACGAUACAUGCCUUGUAUCACAACACAAAACCAUGAAGCACAAACUCGGACACACCAGUCGCACGGCACUUUAGGGAUAAAAGACAUAGCGUUUCCCAGUUAUGCUAUAAGUGCUGGAAAGGGUGCCCCCGCUGACUAGUGGUGGUAAUAGAGAGAAGUUGUUGCUGCAGAAGGAAGCUCACCGGAUCCCCUCAUGGUCUUAAUGAGAAGCUUGAGUGGCACUGGUUCCUGUAGGUGCAUCCUGGAUCUGGGUAUGUACUAUAUUAUUUCUAAUUAUCUGUUUUACGUUGCCUCUCAGUCUCUUUUUAUGUAUAUUUUUCAACCUUAAUUGGCAUGCUGUUUACUCUCAUAGUAGGUGAGGGUGUUCCUAUUUAUUUUCCAUUAUUUAUUUUUCAUUAUUGUAAAUAACUGUAGUUAUUGAUAUUUCUUUAAAGGUAUAGAUAACUAUAUUAGCUGUGCUAUAGUUUCUCCUUCUACGUCUGCAUCUUUUUUUUUUUUUUUAUUAUUAUAGAUCUUUGAGAAGGAUAAUACUAAUCAGAAUUGAGCUCUAGCUUUAAAAUAAACUGUUCUGCUAUAUAUGGCCUGUUAGCCUGAUGUGAUGCAUUUGAACGAAUGUAUGUUUACUCGUUUCCUAGCAACUGCAUGUGAUGACGUCACGCGCUAUGGGCACAACCUCUGACAUCACCAUGCACGUCUUGAUGAACCAGGAAGUGAAUAGAGGCUCCAAGAUGGCGGCUGGACGCUUGAAGUAGCUGCACAGCUGAUUCUGAUUAUAUUUGAUGUGUGGGGGGGCACUUGGAUUAAAAUGAGCACUUGUGCUAUAUAAAUAUAAUAAAAAUAAUAUAUAUUUGAUAGGUUUCUUUUUUAACUAAGGACAUUUGCAUUGAUAAAGGGCUACUGUUUGCAUUCUGUACAUUGUCCUUCCAAUAAAAUGUGGUAGCACCAGUGUGGGCACUUCAAUAUCAGUUGUGCAUGACUCCAUUUUUCUCCUUAUGUUGCUAUAAUUUACCGGUUAGGUGUAAAAGAACCUUAUAGAGGCAGUUGAGGUGGAAAGAAAGAAGAAUCCAUUUUCUCUCCUUCUCUCUCUCCUUAACCCCUUAAGGACCAAACUUCUGGAAUAUAAGGGAAUCAUGACAUGUCACACAUGUGAGAGGGGGAAAAGGAGGACGGGUGAUAUUCUUGUUGAAGCAGCAAU
rnacentral:lncRNA from 1 species